rnacentral:rRNA from 1 species
AAUGUAUGGGGAUCUGCCCGAUAGAGGGGGGUAACUACUGGAAACGGUGGCUAAUACCGCAUAAUGUCUACGGACCAAAGCAGGGGCUCUUCGGACCUUGCACUAUCGGAUGAACCCAUAUGGGAUUAGCUAGUAGGUGGGGUAAGGGCUCACCUAGGCGACGAUCUCUAGCUGGUCUGAGAGGAUGAUCAGCCACACUGGGACUGAGACACGGCCCAG